UGUGAUUUUAUACGUCAGGGUUUGCAUUGGACUUGUCCUAUGGAUGGAGGUCGUUAUGGGCUUCGAGGUCUUUGUGCCACCUGUAGACCACUGAAGUCUGGACUGCACCUUUGUGGACAAGGCUUGGGAUGUAUGGACACAGUGUCUGACCAUCUCGUCGUCCACGUCACAAAUGCACGUCUACAUUUCACCUCCCCGUUGUGGUGUCGGAUGGAUCCUGCAGAAAGGUUCCAAUGGAAGAGCGACGGAGAUAUACAAACAUCAUGAGGUA